AUGAACGCUGGCGGCGUGCCUAAUACAUGCAAGUCGAGCGAACAGACGAGGAGAUUGCUCCUCUUACGUUAGCGGCGGACGGGUGAGUAACACGUGGAUAACCUACCUAUAAGACUGGGAUAACUUCGGGAAACCGGAGCUAAUACCGGAUAAUAUAUUGAACCGCAUGGUUCAAUAGUGAAAGACGGUUUUGCUGUCACUUAUAGAUGGAUCCGCGCCGCAUUAGCUAGUUGGUAAGGUAACGGCUUACCAAGGCAACGAUGCGUAGCCGACCUGAGAGGGUGAUCGGCCACACUGGAACUGAGACACGGUCCAGACUCCUACGGGAGGCAGCAGUAGGGAAUCUUCCGCAAUGGGCGAAAGCCUGACGGAGCAACGCCGCGUGAGUGAUGAAGGUCUUCGGAUCGUAAAACUCUGUUAUUAGGGAAGAACAAAUGUGUAAGUAACUAUGCACGUCUUGACGGUACCUAAUCAGAAAGCCACGGCUAACUACGUG
rnacentral:rRNA from 1 species